GGGUGCGUCAGCCAUGUGGCUUGAAUCGCAGGUUAAAAAUCAACGCUGGUCGGGCCGCUAGCG
rnacentral:ncRNA from 1 species